GACGAACGCUGGCGGCGUGCUUAACACAUGCAAGUCGUACGGUAAGGCCCUUUCGGGGGUCCACGAGUGGCGAACGGGUGAGUAACACGUGAGUAACCUGCCCACAACUUUGGGAUAACGCUAGGAAACUGGUGCUAAUACUGGAUAUGUGCUCCUGCUGCAUGGUGGGGGUUGGAAAGCUCCGGCGGUUGUGGAUGGACUCGCGGCCUAUCAGCUUGUUGGUGGGGUAGUGGCCUACCAAGGCGGCGACGGGUAGCCGGCCUGAGAGGGUGACCGGCCACAUUGGGACUGAGAUACGGCCCAGACUCCUACGGGAGGCAGCAGUGGGGAAUAUUGCACAAUGGGCGCAAGCCUGAUGCAGCAACGCCGCGUGCGGGAUGACGGCCUUCGGGUUGUAAACCGCUUUCAGCAGGGACGAAGCUUUUUGUGACGGUACCUGCAGAAGAAGCACCGGCUAACUACAUG
rnacentral:rRNA from 1 species